ACUGGCGGACGGGUGAGUAACGCGUAGCCACCUGCCUUUAGCUGGGGGAUAACAUUCCGAAAGGGGUGCUAAUACCGCAUAAUGCCGCAUGGCUAAAGGUUUCGACCGGCUAAAGAGGGGGCUGCGUGCUAUUAGUUAGUUGGUGAGGUAACGGCUCACCAAGGCGAUGAUAGCUAGGGGGUCUGAGAGGAUGAUCCCCCACACUGGGACUGAGACACGGCCCAGACUCCUACGGGAGGCAGCAGUGAGGAAUCUUGCGCAAUGGGCGAAAGCCUGACGCAGCCACGCCGCGUGCCGGAUGAAGGCCUAUGGGUUGUAAACGGCUUUUAAGCAGGAAGAACGACCGGAUUUCGAUCUGGUGUGACGGUACUGCUUGAAUAAGCACCGGCUAACUCCGUGCCAGCAGCCGCGGUAAUACGGAGGGUGCAAGCGUUGUCCGGAAUCAUUGGGUGUAAAGGGUGCGUAGGCGGGCGUCUAAGUCUGGGGUGAAAUCUUGCCGCUUAACGGUAAAAUGGCCUUGGAUACUGGGCGUCUUGAGUGUAGAAGAGGUAAGUGGAAUUCGUAGUGUAGCGGUGAAAUGCAUAGAUAUUACGAAGAUCAUCAGUGGCGACGCGGCUUACUGGUCUACACUGACGCUGAGCACGAAGCGUGGGGAGCGACAGAUAGAUACCUUGUUAGUCACGCUGA
rnacentral:rRNA from 1 species